rnacentral:rRNA from 1 species
CGGAGGGUGCGAGCGUUGCUCGGAAUCACUGGGCGUAAGCGUACGCAGGCUGUUUCGUAAGUCGGGUGUGAAAGCCCGGGGCUCAACCCCGGAAUUGCGCCCGAGACUGCGGAGCUUGAAUGCGGGAGAGGGAAGCGGAAUUCCUGGUGUAGAGGUGAAAUUCGUAGAUAUCAGGAGGAACACCGGUGGCGAAAGCGGCUUCCUGGCCCGACAUUGACGCUCAUGUACGAGAGCGUGGGGAGCAAACAGGAUUAGAUACCCUGGUAGUCCACGCUGUAAACGAUGAGUGCUAGCUGCUGGGAAUGUCUACCGUCUCAGUGGCGAAGCUAACGCAUUAAGCACUCCGCCUGGGAAGUACGGCCGCAAGGCUA